GACGAACGCUGGCGGCGUGCUUAACACAUGCAAGUCGAACGGUAAGGCCCUUCGGGGUACACGAGUGGCGAACGGGUGAGUAACACGUGGGUGAUCUGCCCUGCACUUCGGGAUAAGCCUGGGAAACUGGGUCUAAUACCGGAUAGGACUCCGGACUGCAUGGUCUGGGGUGGAAAGCUUUUGCGGUGUGGGAUGGGCCCGCGGCCUAUCAGCUUGUUGGUGGGGUGAUGGCCUACCAAGGCGACGACGGGUAGCCGGCCGGAGAGGGUGACCGGCCACACUGGGACUGAGAUACGGCCCAGACUCCUACGGGAGGCAGCAGUGGGGAAUACUGCACAAUGGGCGCAAGCCUGAUGCAGCGACGCCGCGUGAGGGAUGACGGCCUUCGGGUUGUAAACCUCUUUCAGCACCGACGAAGCGCAAGUGACGGUAGGUGCAGAAGAAGGACCGGCCAACUACGUGCCAGCCGCCGCCGCAG
rnacentral:rRNA from 1 species